rnacentral:rRNA from 11 species
CGUCGAAAGGGAAUCGGGUUAAUAUUCCCGAGCCGACGCGUGGAUGGUGGGCGGCGACGCGUACGAACCCGGAGACGCCGGCGCGGGCCCCGGGAAGAGUUCUCUUUUCUUCUUAACUGCCUCGUGCCCUGGAAUCGGUUUAGCCGGAGCGAGGGCUGCACGGCAGGCAAAGCACCCUAAGUCUUGGGGUGUCCGGCGCGCCCGCGACGGCCCGUGAAAAUCCGGGGGAGCGGUUCGUUCUCACGCUCGGUCGUACUCAUAACCGCAUCAGGUCUCCAAGGUGAGUAGCCUCUAGUCGAUAGAGUAAUGUGGAUAAGGGAAGUCGGCAAAAUAGAUCCGUAACCUCGGGAAAAGGAUUGGCUCUGAGGGUUUGGUGUGUUGUGUUGUGUUGGUGGGGGCG